GUCCUGGGGCAGCGCGCGGCGGGGGGAUGCUCGCCUGAGAGAUUGUGCUAAUCCCAGUGUAAUAUCCGGGCACUGCGCAUGCGCAGCGGUUCUGGUGCAGCCCUUGCCCGUUUCUCUGCCCUCGCGCUAAUUGCUCUCUCAUCUCUGCAACCCAUAUUCAUUGUUUUGCUCUAUGCUGUAAUUACUCUGUGCAAUGCAAGUCUAAGUCCUGCUACUUUGAAACAAAUUUAAGAACCAGGCUGACAGAAUGAAACUGGUAAGGAACCAAGUUAAAAACAAACCAAAAGGAAGCAUUUUUGCACUGAACUCAUAGUCACCCAGUGGAACUCCUUGCCAGAGGAGAUUGUGAGGGUGAAGUCUACAAGAGGGUUCAGACAAGAACUGAAUAAUUUGAUGCAGGAAAGGUUAAUCAAUGGCUUUUAACCACCAUGGACAGGGAAGGUGCCCUCAGCCGGUGUUUGCCAGAAGCUGGCAAUGGGCGACAGGAGAGGGAUCACUUAAGAACACAAGAACAUAAAAGUUCUUUAAGAAGCUGGGUUUUAGGCCUUUUUCACCUUUUGUGUCCCUGCCUGCUGGCUCUGGGGGGAGGGGCUGUGUCAGGGGGGCCGC